rnacentral:rRNA from 1 species
AAGAACCUUACCAACUCUUGACAUCCCCCUGACCGGUACAGAGAUGUACCUUCCCCUUCGGGGGCAGGGGUGACAGGUGGUGCAUGGUUGUCGUCAGCUCGUGUCGUGAGAUGUUGGGUUAAGUCCCGCAACGGGCGCAACCCUUGUCCUUAGUUGCCAGCAUUAAGUUGGGCACUCUAAGGAGACUGCCGGUGACAAACCGGAGGAAGGUGGGGAUGACGUCAAAUCAUCAUGCCCCUUAUGAGUUGGGCUACACACGUGCUACAAUGGACGGUACAAAGGGCAGCGAAGCCGCGAGGUGGAGCCAAUCCCAGAAAGCCGUUCUCAGUUCGGAUUGCAGGCUGCAACUCGCCUGCAUGAAGUCGGAAUCGCUAGUAAUCGCAGGUCAGCAUACUGCGGUGAAUACGUUCCCGGGUCUUGUACACACCGCCCGUCACACCACGAGAGUUUGCAACACCCGAAGUCGGUGAGUAACCNAAGGAGC